UACGAAGGGGGCUAGCGUUGUUCGGAAUCACUGGGCGUAAAGCGCACGUAGGCGGAUCUUUAAGUCAGGGGUGAAAUCCCAAGGCUCAACCUUGGAACUGCCUUUGAUACUGGGGAUCUCGAGUUCGGGAGAGGUGAGUGGAACUGCGAGUGUAGAGGUGAAAUUCGUAGAUAUUCGCAAGAACACCAGUGGCGAAGGCGGCUCACUGGCCCGAUACUGACGCUGAGGAGCGAAAGCGUGGGGAGCGAACAGG
rnacentral:rRNA from 1 species